UCUCUCUGCAUGGACACCCCUGCUCAGAGUGGGAACCUACAUUAAAUAUCAGACAGUAAUGAUAACAUAAAGCAGCCGUUGGAAAAGGGUGAAGAGCUAGAAACGUCAGAGGACAUAAAAACUAAAUCGUCACUGAAGUCAUCGUCACCACUCUGCCUACUUCCUCAGUGCAUGAGCAGUAGACAGUCACAGCCACUCAGUUGCCAAAUGGUGUCAACACGCUCACACAGAAGUCUAAGAAACAGCAACGCCGUGGCUACUGAGCUCUGAACUCACGAGAGACAUCAGGAAUUGGAAGGGUGAAGCUACCUCCCCAUCCUGUACUCUGUGGUCUGCUGUGUUUUCCUGCACGGGCUCUCAGAGGUGUGUCUUCAAAUUUUCCCUUCACCUGAAGUGAUCUUGUCCACCCAUCAUGGGUAGGGGCAACUUCUGGACUUCUAGGAUGGCUCAAUCUUUUGGGAAAGACUUGGAUAAACUGCUCAUGAAA
rnacentral:lncRNA from 1 species